rnacentral:rRNA from 1 species
UCGGCUUAGAGUUUGAUCAUGGCUCAGAUUGAACGCUGGCGGCAGGCUUAACACAUGCAAGUCGAACGGUAGAAGAGCUUGCUCUUGACGAGUGGCGGACGGGUGAGUAAUGUAUGGGGAUCUGCCAAAUGGAAGGGGACAACAGUUGGAAACGACUGCUAAUACCGUAUAAUGUCGCGAGACCAAAGUGUUUAGACAUGCCAUUUGAUGAACCCAUAUGGGAUUAGCUAGUAGGUAGGGUAAAGGCCUACCUAGGCGACGAUCUCUAGCUGGUCUGAGAGGAUGACCAGCCACACUGGAACUGAGACACGGUCCAGACUCCUACGGGAGGCAGCAGUGGGGAAUAUUGCACAAUGGGGGAAACCCUGAUGCAGCCAUGCCGCGUGUAUGAAGAAGGCCUUAGGGUUGUAAAGUACUUUCGGUAAUGAGGAAGGUAACUAUUAACAUAGUUAAUUGACGUUAAUUACAGAAGAAGCACCGGCUAACUCCGUGCCAGCAGCCGCGGUAAUACGGAGGGUGCGAGCGUUAAUCGGAAUGACUGGGCGUAAAGGGCAUGUAGGCGGAUGAUUAAGUUAGGUGUGAAAGCCCCGGGCUCAACCUGGGAAUUGCACUUAAACUGGUUAUCUAGAGUAUUGUAGAGGAAGGUA